GACGAACGCUGGCGGCGUGCCUAAUACAUGCAAGUUGAGCGCUGAAGGUUGGUACUUGUACCGACUGGAUGAGCAGCGAACGGGUGAGUAACGCGUGGGGAAUCUGCCUUUGAGCGGGGGACAACAUUUGGAAACGAAUGCUAAUACCGCAUAAAAACUUUAAACACAAGUUUUAAGUUUGAAAGAUGCAAUUGCAUCACUCAAAGAUGAUCCCGCGUUGUAUUAGCUAGUUGGUGAGGUAAAGGCUCACCAAGGCGAUGAUACAUAGCCGACCUGAGAGGGGGAGCUGCGACACUGGGACGGGAACACGGCCCAAAAGCCUAGAGGAGGCAGCAGUAGGGGAUCUUCGGGAGAGGACGAAAGGCUGAACGAGCAACGACGAGUGAGAGAAGGAGGGUUUCGGAUCGUAAAAAUCUGUUGGUAGAGAAGAACGUUGGUUGGAGUUGAAAGCUCAUCAAGUGACGGUAACUACCCAGAAAGGGACGGCUAACUACGUG
rnacentral:rRNA from 1 species